UACAGAGGGGGCAAGCGUUGUUCGGAAUUACUGGGCGUAAAGGGCGCGUAGGCGGCCUUCUAAGUCGAACGUGAAAUCCCCGGGCUCAACCCGGGAACUGCGUCCGAGACUGGAAGGCUUGAAUCCGGGAGAGGGAUGCAGAAUUCCAGGUGUAGCGGUGAAAUGCGUAGAUAUCUGGAGGAAUACCGGUGGCGAAGGCGGCAUCCUGGACCGGCAUUGACGCUGAGGAGCGAAAGCUAGGGGAGCAAACGGG
rnacentral:rRNA from 1 species